rnacentral:rRNA from 1 species
CAGUAGCCGCGGUAAUACGUAGGGGGCAAGCGUUAUCCGGAAUUACUGGGUGUAAAGGGAGCGUAGACGGGUAAACAAGUCUGAAGUGAAAUGCCGGGGCUCAACCCCGGAGCUGCUUUGGGAACUGUAGAACUGGAGUGUCGGAGGGGUAAGCGGAAUUCCCAGUGUAGCGGUGAAAUGCGUAGAUAUUGGGAGGAACACCGGCGGCGAAGGCGGCUUACUGGACGACAACUGACGUUGAGGCUCGAAGGCGUGGGUAGCAAACAGGAUUAGAUACCCCGGUAGUCCCUGUCUCUUAUAC